UUGACCUCAAAUCAGGUAGGACUACCCGCUGAACUUAAGCAUAUCAAUAAGCGGAGGAAAAGAAACUAACAAGGAUUCCCCUAGUAACUGCGAGUGAAGCGGGAAGAGCUCAAAUUUAAAAUCUGGUGGUCCUCGCGGCCGUCCGAGUUGUAAUCUGGAGAAGCGUUUUCCGCGUCGGACCGUGUACAAGUCUUUCUGGAAUGGAGCGUCGUAGAGGGUGAGAAUCCCGUCUCUGACACGGACCGCCGAUGCUUUUGUGAUACGCUCUCGAA
rnacentral:rRNA from 1 species